UUGUAGAUGUUAAAAGCAAGAGACAUGGGAGAUCAUCAUUCCCUUGAGAUUUUAUAACUCAAACCAACUUUGGAGUUGUCUGAUUUGGAGAGUCAUUAUUCUUGGUCUGCGCUCUUAGAGGCCACUGAUGAAGAACAGGCGGUGACUGGGAUGAAUGCUGGUCAGAGAGGAGAAUCGUCUUUCCCCUAAACUGAUGCAGCGGUGGUUUUAAAGAAGGACGCUGCCCUGGAUGAUGUAGAAGAUGUCACAUGCUGAUGGGGUUUCUUCAUGAUUACAUCAGUUAUGCUAAAGAGAUCAUGAAAAUUGACCGUGAUGCAUGAUCUGUAUUCAUGGACAAUGAAACAAACUGUAAGUGUAUAAUUUGUUAAAAAAAAAAAGUUAAAUGCUUUUUCUGUGUUGUUUAGUAGAAAAGUUUACACUCUGUCAUUCAUACACCUGCUAACAUUCUUUCACACACACACACACACACACACACACACAUGCGUCUGUUAAAGGUUAUAAUAUCAAAGUUAAUGUUGUGAUUUAUUUGUGUACUGUCAUGCCAGAAUAGUUGGAAAAAAAACUAAUUGUAAAUUUAUUGUAUGUGUUUUCGUAUAUUUUUAUACAAUAUAUACAAUUGAACAAAGUCCAAUUUGAUCUUAAGUUAUAUUCAUCAAAUGUUCAAUGCUUUGUUUAUGAACUCUGUAGCUGUUAAUGCCAUCCUUUUCUGCAUUUCUUCUAACAUGUUACUUUUUGACUUUUCUCUUGUUUUUAAUAAAUAUUUUCCUUUUGGUAA